rnacentral:lncRNA from 10 species
CUUCGGCGAGGUCGGGAAGUCCGUUCAUGCAGAGUUACCAAGGUUGUCACGUUGAGAUGCUGGACUUGAAAUCUGGAGUCCUGCUUCCUGUGGCUAGAUAAUCCUGGGUCUGUGCGUCUUAUAAAUGGAAAUGAAAGGACCUGCCUUUCCUGUUGUUGAGGUCAUCGGGAAGAUCAAGUAAGACAAUGUUCUGUAUGGGGGAAAUGCUCUAAAAACUGAAAGCUGUGUUGUGUUGGUUCAUUUUCUCCAAGAUAUCCAGGAGGCAGAAGAUUGAAAUGGUUCAGGGAUGGAAGGUAAUAGGUAAAAGGUUUCCAGACCACCUGUCUGGAAAAAAUCCUUCAAGCAAUUAGGUAAUAGUCACUGACUCAGAGAAUUCACUUUCUUUUAAGUCACAAAUUACACUAUUAGUGCUCCUGAUGAGAAAGAAUGUUGACUGAACCUAGUGUCUGGGUAUUGCAAAAGUGGUUUGUUGGCCACAGCCUAGUAAUUUUGUGGCUCUUGGCCCUACACACUUGAGCUUUUAGGUUUUUUUCAGGAGAGGAAAUCUGCAAUACAGGCUCACCAAUAUCUCUGUGGAGGUUCUUAUUCCAGGAGAUAGGGUGGUGGCCUCUCAGGAAAUCAUCUGUGUCAGACAAUCUGAUCCAAUUAUAAAACUAUAUCCAAUUAUCCAAAUUAUAAAAAUAACCUCUCAAGUUAUGUUGGUGGAUACAGUUGGAAGAUAUUAUUGUUCAGUGACAACAGUACCAAUUAUCCAUAUAUAUCAAAUGUAUAUAUGCUUGAUACAUAGAUGUAUGUUUAUAUGUAUGCAUCUGGCCAUUCUAUGUAUCAUGUGUCAAUCAAUCAUCUAUCUAUCUGUCUAUCUAUCUAUCUAUCUAUCUAUCUAUCUAUCUAUCAUCCAUCUAUCUGUCUCUCGCUGGUUGUGCAUAUUUGAGAAGUACUUCAGUUCAUGGAAGCAGCUAUCUCCUUCACUUACUAGCAGUAAGACUUUGUUUUCAUCUUCGAGUUUCAAAUUCUUCACUGUAAAAUCUUGGUGAUUAAACACAAUGCAGUUGCUGCAAAGAUUAUAUAAAUGGUUGUUUAAAUUUCUGGCAUUUUAUCGGUGUUCAAAACAUUUUCUUUUUUUCAUACAUGUAAAUCCUCCAAAUUACCAGCUAUUUUACCAUUAACAUUUUCCCUUCCAAUUAAAGCAAAAUAUUCCCAAUUUACAUAUGUGCAAUGAGAAGAGUUUUAUGGUUAAAUAUGUUGGAGAAGUGCUGUGUAUGCAUCCCACCCUCUCCUGGUGAUUUAUACAUAAAAAGGACCUGAGAAACUUCAGAAAAGAAACUUACUUAACCUUGUUCAUCAAUGUUUUCCAAGGUUAUUUUACCAUGGAAACUCCCCAUUUUUUUACUUUCCCCAUGGAAUGGUGAUGAACAUGUCACAAGACAAGGUGACAGAGCAGGAGCAUCACCAUCCUGCCAUUUUAAAGUUCACCUUGAUCAAAAACCACCUAAAUCCAAAGGGCAUCAGCCUAAUGGCUAAGGCCAGAAUGACCAUGAGCCACAAAUAACAUCUCUUACCAGAAACAUUCCAAACCCCUCCCUGACCAGAGACAUAUCAGCCCCAAGAUAACCUCCCCUCCAACCAGAUACAUUCCAACCCUGCAACUGACUUCUCCGUUAUACAGAAACAUUCCACGCCGGUGAUAAGUUCUCUCACCCUUAAACCAAUUAAUACUCUUAGUCUGUAACAGAGAAUGCUCCUGACUGAAAUUGGCCAGAAGCCCCUCUCAGGUUUAUUCUCCAAAAUAAACCUGUCUUUGAAUGUUGAGCCACUUUUUGUGUUUCUUUGCAUAUUUGAUUGCUUCUUCUGCCCUAUUGUUUAAGUAAAAAUGCAGAUUCACUGAGCCAGACUAAGGCAUAAGUGACUAUUCCUCUACCCUCUUCACAUGUAAGUUAUCUAUUCAGUGAAAGACUAAAGACUCAAAAGAACACAACCAUUUGUCUCUUAUCUACCUAUGACCUGAAACCUCCCGCUUCGAGUUGUCCCACAUUUCCAGAUUGAACCAAUGUACAUCUUACUUAUAUUAAUUGAUGUCUUAUGUCUCCCUAAAAUGUAUAAAACCAAGCUGUACCCUGACCACCUUGGGGACAUGUCAUCAGGACUUUGUUCGGUUGUGUCAUGGGAGUGUCCUUAACCUUGGCAAAAAUAAACUUUCUAAAUUGAUUGAGAC